ensembl:lncRNA
GUUUUCUCUUUGACAAUCCCCCUUUUAACCCGAAAAUCACCCGUUUUCUCUUUGCAAAUCCCCCAUUUAACCCGAAAACCACGUGUUUUCUCUUCGCAAAUCCCCCAUUUAAGCGAACAUCACGUCUUUUCUCUUCGAGAAUACACCAUUUAUCCUGAAAAUCACGCGUUUUCUCUUCGCAAAUCCCCCAUUUAACCUGAAAAUCACGCGUUUUCUCUUCGCAAAUCCCCCAUUUAACCAAAAAUCACGCGUUUUCUCUUUGCAAAUACCCCAUUUAACCCAAAAAUCACGCGCUUUCUCUUCGCAAAUCCCCCAUUUAAGCGAAAAUCACGCGUUUUCUCUUCGAAAUCCCCCAUUUAACCCGAAAAUCACGCGUUUUCUCUUUGCAAAUCCCCCAUUUAACCCGAAAAUCACGUGUUUUCUCUUCGCAAAUCCCCCAUUUAAGCGAAAAUCACGUUUUCUCUUCGAGAAUCCCCAUUUAACCGAAAAUCACGCGUUUUCUCUUCGCAAAUCCCCCAUUUAACCUGAAAAUCACGCGUUUUCUCUUCGCAAAUCCCCCAUUUAACCGAAAAUCACGCGUUUUCUCUUUGCAAAUCCCCCAUUUAACCAAAAUCACGCGUUUUCUCUUCGCAAAUCCCCC